UCCAGCUUCUUUCUCCCCAUAUCAACUAUGCAGCUUGCAGUUAACAUGAAUGACCUUCCCAAUAUUACAGGAAUGUCAGUAUCUUCACAAAUAUCCAUUACCACAAAGUCUGCCGAGAAGAUAAAAUGUUUUACUCUGACCAGCACAUCUUCAAUUACUCCAUAUGGUCUGGUAAUAGAGCGUUCAACAAGUUGUAAAGUCAUCCUAGUGGACAUGAUCUCCAACUCUCCCAACCUUCUGCACAUGGAGAGUGGCAUUAAGUUAAUACUGGCUCCCAGGUCAAU
rnacentral:lncRNA from 1 species